rnacentral:tRNA from 1 species
GCCUUUGUGGUGCAGUGGUAAGCACGAUCGGUGUGUAUUCGAGAAAUCUGUGGUUCGAGUCCCGGCGAGGGCA